ensembl:snRNA U6 U6 spliceosomal RNA
GUAAGCUCACUUCGGCCGCACAUAUACUAAAAUUGCAAUGCUACAGAAUAGAUUAGCAUGACCUCGCCUCAAGGAGGACACGCAAAUAUGUGAAGUGUUCCAUAUUUUU